GACGAACGCUGGCGGCGUGCUUAACACAUGCAAGUCGAACGGAAAGGCCCUGCUUUUGUGGGGUGCUCGAGUGGCGAACGGGUGAGUAACACGUGAGUAACCUGCCCUUGACUUUGGGAUAACUUCAGGAAACUGGGGCUAAUACCGGAUAGGAGCUCCUGCUGCAUGGUGGGGGUUGGAAAGUUUCGGCGGUUGGGGAUGGACUCGCGGCUUAUCAGCUUGUUGGUGGGGUAGUGGCUUACCAAGGCUUUGACGGGUAGCCGGCCUGAGAGGGUGACCGGCCACAUUGGGACUGAGAUACGGCCCAGACUCCAACGGGAGGCAGCAGUGGGGAAUAUUGCACAAUGGGCGGGAGCCUGAGGCAGCAACGCCGCGUGCGGGAUGACGGCCUUCGGGGUGUAAACCGCUUUCGCCUGUGACGAAGCGUGAGUGACGGUAAUGGGUAAAGAAGCACCGGCUAACUACGUG
rnacentral:rRNA from 1 species